rnacentral:rRNA from 1 species
UGCGUAGGUGGCGCCAUAAGUCGGGUGUGAAAUUUCGGAGCUUAACUCCGAAACUGCAUUCGAUACUGUGGUGCUUGAGGACUGGAGAGGAGACUGGAAUUUACGGUGUAGCAGUGAAAUGCGUAGAGAUCGUAAGGAAGACCAGUGGCGAAGGCGGGUCUCUGGACAGUUCCUGACACUGAGGCACGAAGGGCCAGGGGAGGCAAACG